UACGUAGGGUGCGAGCGUUGUCCGGAAUUAUUGGGCGUAAAGAGUUCGUAGGCGGUUUGUUGCGUCUAUCGUGAAAACCUGCAGCUUAACUGUGGGCUUGCGGUGGAUACGGGCAGACUUGAGUUCGGUAGGGGAGACUGGAAUUCCUGGUGUAGCGGUGAAAUGCGCAGAUAUCAGGAGGAACACCGGUGGCGAAGGCGGGUCUCUGGGCCGAUACUGACGCUGAGGAGCGAAAGCGUGGGGAGCGAACAGG
rnacentral:rRNA from 1 species